UACCCGACCCUGGUCCUCCUAUUUUCAGUUGGUUUUGGCAGCGCGAGGACUAGGGUAAUGAUUAAUAGGGAUAG
rnacentral:rRNA from 1 species